rnacentral:rRNA from 1 species
GCCUAACAUCUAGCCCACACCACCCACAUGACCUCCUUAUCUCUAUACCCAUACAACAAAACAUUUUACCUCUUUAGUACAGGCGAUCGAAAAAUUUAUAGGCGCUUCAGAUCCAGUACCGCAAGGGAAAGAUGAAAUAAAAAUGAAAUAACUUUAAAGCCCUAAACAGCAGAGAUUUACCCUCGUACCUUUUGCAUCAUGGUCUAGCUAGUCUAACCAAGCAAAAUGUGAACUUUAGUUUGACACCCCGAAACUAAGUGAGCUACUUCAAAACAGCCCUAAGGGGCCAACCCGUCUCUGUCGCAAAAGAGUGGGAAGAUUUUCAAGUAGAGGUGACAAGCCUAUCGAACUUAGAGAUAGCUGGUUAUUCAGGAAAAGAGUCUCAGCUCUACCUUAAGUUUUUUUAUUAGCUCAAACAAAUUCUUAGACUUAAGAGCUACUCAAGUAAGGCUCAGCUUACUUGAAACAGGAUACAACCUCCAACAUUGGGUAAAUAAGGGAAACCCAGACAAAGUGGGCCUAAAAGCAGCCACCUUAUAAAAAGCGUUAAAGCUUAAUCACUAAUUUACCCCUAAUUCCUUAAUUUCUUAUUAACCCCUCACCCCUACUGAAUCAUUUUAUACUAUUAUAAAAAUUAUUAUGCUAGAACUAGUAACAAGAAAUUGCCUUUCUCCUAAAUGUCCGCCAGAACCGAAAUAAACCCUAUCGGUAUUUAACGUAAAUGCCUUAAUUAUAGCAACUCCCAACCAGAAAACCCUAUUAUUCUCAACGUCAACCUUACACCAGAACAUUAUAGGAAAGAUAAAAGAAAGAGAAGAACU